rnacentral:rRNA from 1 species
CCUACGGGAGGCAGCAGUGGGGGAUAUUGCACAAUGGGGGGAACCCUGAUGCAGCGACGCCGCGUGGGUGAAGAAGCGCCUCGGCGCGUAAAGCCCUGUCAGCAGGGAAGAAAAUGACGGUACCUGAAGAAGAAGCCCCGGCUAACUCCGUGCCAGCAGCCGCGGUAAUACGUAGGGGGCAAGCGUUAUCCGGGUUUACUGGGUGUAAGGGGGGCGCAGACGGCGAUGCAAGCAAGGAGUGAAAGCCCGGGGCCAAACCCCGGGACUGCUCUUGGAACGGCGUGGCUGGAGUGCAGGAGGGGCAGGCGGAAUUCCUGGUGGAGCGGUGAAAUGCGUAGAGAUCAGGAGGAACACCGGUGGCGAAGGCGGCCUGCUGGACGGCAACUGACGUUGAGGCCCGAAAGCGUGGGGAGCAAACAGGAUUAGAUACCCCAGUAGUC